rnacentral:rRNA from 1 species
AGACAGCAGUAGCCACGGGAAUACGUAGGUGGCAAGCGUUGUCCGGAAUUAUUGGGCGUAAAGGGCUCGCAGGCGGUUUCUUAAGUCUGAUGUGAAAGCCCCCGGCUCAACCGGGGAGGGUCAUUGGAAACUGGGAAACUUGAGUGCAGAAGAGGAGAGUGGAAUUCCACGUGUAGCGGUGAAAUGCGUAGAGAUGUGGAGGAACACCAGUGGCGAAGGCGACUCUCUGGUCUGUAACUGACGCUGAGGAGCGAAAGCGUGGGGAGCGAACAGGAUUAGAUACCGCGUAGUCCCUGUCUCUUAUACC